rnacentral:rRNA from 1 species
UGGGGAAUUUUGGACAAUGGGCGAAAGCCUGAUCCAGCAAUGCCGCGUGUGUGAAGAAGGCCUUCGGGUUGUAAAGCACUUUUGUCCGGAAAGAAAUCCUUGGCUCUAAUACAGUCGGGGGAUGACGGUACCGGAAGAAUAAGCACCGGCUAACUACGUGCCAGCAGCCGCGGUAAUACGUAGGGUGCAAGCGUUAAUCGGAAUUACUGGGCGUAAAGCGUGCGCAGGCGGUUUGCUAAGACCGAUGUGAAAUCCCCGGGCUCAACCUGGGAACUGCAUUGGUGACUGGCAGGCUAGAGUAUGGCAGAGGGGGGUAGAAUUCCACGUGUAGCAGUGAAAUGCGUAGAGAUGUGGAGGAAUACCGAUGGCGAAGGCAGCCCCCUGGGCCAAUACUGACGCUCAUGCACGAAAGCGUGGGGGAGCAAAACAGGAUUAGAUACCCUGGUAGUCCACGCCCUAAACGAUGUCAACUAGUUGUUGGGGAUUCAUUUCCUUAGUAACGUAGCUAACGCGUGAAGUUGACCGCCUGGGGAGUACGGUCGCAAGAUUAAAACUCAAA